UCAAGUUAUUAAGGGUGCAGGGCGGAUGCCUUGGCACUAGGAGCCGAUGAAGGACGUGAUAAGCUGCGAUAAGCUUCGGGGAGUUGCACGUAAACUUUGAUCCGAAGAUUUCCGAAUGAGGAAACUCACUUAGAGUAAUGUCUAAGUAUCAUUAAGUGAAUACAUAGCUUAAUGAGGGGAACUCAGGGAACUGAAACAUCUAAGUACCUGAAGGAAGAGAAAGAAAUUCGAUUCCGUAAGUAGCGGCGAGCGAACGCGGAUUAGCCCAAACCAAUAAAGUUUUCUUUAUUGGGGUUGCGGACAUAUCAUAACGAAGAGGUAUCGUAAUUGAAGAGGUUUGGAAAGACCCACCACAGAAGGUAAUAGUCCUGUAUGUUAAACGAGAAGACUUUAGAUAUGAUCCAGAGUACCACGGGACACGUGAAACCCUGUGGGAAGCAGGAGGGACCACCCUCCAAGGCUAAAUACUACCUAGUGACCGAUAGCGUAUAGUACCGUGAGGGAAAGGUGAAAAGAACCCCGGGAGGGGAGUGAAAUAGAACCUGAAACCCUGCACUUACAAGCUGUGGAAGCACAUUUCUUGUGUGACCGCGUACUUUUUGUAGAACGGGCCAACGAGUUACGUUAAGUAGCAAGGUUAAGCACUUAAGGUGUGGAGCCGUAGCGAAAGCGAGUUUUAACUGAGCGUUCAGUUACUUGACGUAGACCCGAAACCGGGCGACCUACCCAUGAGCAGGAUGAAGCGAAAGUAAAAUUUCGUGGAGGUCCGAACCCACGAGCGUUGAAAAGCUCGGGGAUGACUUGUGGGUAGCGGUGAAAUUCCAAUCGAGCCCGGAGAUAGCUGGUUCUCCCCGAAAUAGCUUUAGGGCUAGCCUCAAGGUGAGAGAUACGGAGGUAGAGCACUGAAUGUCCUAGGGGGUAUUGCACCUACCGAAGACUAUCAAACUCCGAAUGCCGUCAUCUUAUACUUGGGAGUCAGACUGUGGGUGAUAAGAUUCAUAGUCGAAAGGGCAACAGCCCAGAUCGUCAGCUAAGGUCCCUAAAUGUAAGUUAAGUGGUAAAGGAUGUGGGAUUGCACAGACAACCAGGAUGUUGGCUUAGAAGCAGCCACUCAUUCAAAGAGUGCGUAAUAGCUCACUGGUCGAGUGAUCCUGCGCCGAAGAUUUCCGGGGCUAAAACUUACUACCGAAGCUACGGCAUCAGUAAUGAUGGGUAGGGGAGCUUCCCAUACGGGUUGAAGCAUGACCGUAAGGACAUGUGGACAGUAUGGGAGUGAGAAUGUUGGCAUGAGUAGCGAGAUGUGGGUGAGAAUCCCACAGGCCGUAAACCCAAGGUUUCCAGGGGAAGGUUCGUCCGCCCUGGGUUAGUCGGGACCUAAGCUGAGGCCGAAAGGCGUAGGUGAUGGACAACAGGUUGAUAUUCCUGUACUACCGAUAACCGUUUGAGAGAAGGGAUGACACAGUAGGAUAAGCUAAGCACACUGUUGGUUAUGUGUGCCCAAGCAUUGAGGCAGUCAAAGUAGGCAAAUCCGCUUUGAUAAUGCUGGGAUGUGAUGGGGAGCGAAAUUUAGUAGCGAAGUAGCUGAUUUCACACUGUCAAGAAAAGUCUCUAUCGAGGUUAAAGGUACCCGUACCGCAAACCGACACAGGUGGGUGAGGAGAGUAUCCUAAGGCCAGCGAGAGAACUGUUGUUAAGGAACUCGGCAAAAUGACCCCGUAACUUAGGGAUAAGGGGUGCCACCAUCAGGUGGCCGCAGAGAAUAGGCCCAAGCGACUGUUUACCAAAAACAUAGGUUUCUGCUAAGUCGCAAGACGAUGUUAUAGGAGCUGACGCCUGCCCGGUGCUGGAAGGUUAAGGGAUCUGUUAGAGCAAUCGAAGCAGUGAACUUAACCCCAGUAAACGGCGGCCGUAACUAUAACGGUCCUAAGUAGCGAAAUUCCUUGUCGGGUAAGUUCCGACCCGCACGAAAGGCGACGUAACGAUUUGGGCACUGUCCUCAACAACAGACUCGGUGAAAUUGUAAUUCCGGUGAAGAUGCCGGAUACCUGCGACAGGACGGAAAGACCCCAUGGAGCUUUACUGUAGCUUGACAUGGGUCUUGGUACUACAUGUACAGGAUAGGUGG
rnacentral:rRNA from 1 species